AAAAUUGCUAAUUUUCUAAUUCCUGGAGGCCUUUGAAGCUAACCCAAGAAAGCAGUAAACUUCCCGGUAAUAUCUUCCUAUAAAUUUGAGGGAAUUGGAGGAAAGAGGUUCCCAACGCGUCAUCCUCUUGGUUUCAACAUUUGAAUUUGACAAUUUCAAUAGAUUUUUCUCCUAUAUACAGUAGUAUUCUCUUGCGUUUGCGUAGAGAUUUGAUUUUCUUACAGGCAAAUUGAGAAAAAUUCUUCAAAAAUGGGGGGAGUGAAUAUCUGGAACGCCGUCCAAGUAGCAGAGAGUCACAGCUCCGAGAUUCCGUCGUCUUCUCGCACCAUCGACCACUCGCUCUCGCUUUCCGACAUGAAGCCUAGCAUCUUGUAAUUAUUUUUUUUUCAGAUUGCAUUUCCGUGCAUUACUGCUUCCUCGUUUCUGAAUUGAUGUACCUAUUACUUUAAAUGCAAAAAUUGUUGCUUGUAUUUUCUGAGGAUUAAUUGCGGUUUUGAUGCUGUAUGCUAAGGAAACAAAUUCGGUUUGGUAAUACCUGUUUAUAGGUAGGUUGACAUUUAAGCUUUCUUUGAUUAAAGAAAAUCGGAAUUCAAAACUCGAUCUGUGCUUUUGGAACGUAGAACGGAAAUUUCAAGGCAGUUUCUCGAUUGCCAGUCAAUGCAGAUUUUUCAUCUUAUAAGUUGAAGGUUUUUCAGUUUAAGCCUUUUUAGAUAGGCGAAGAGCUGGCAUAAAUGUGGUAAUGUUGUAUGUCAGCUCGGGAGUCUUAAAAAAUUGAGUUUUGUGAUCUGGUUUGCACAGAAAAUAACAGGAAAAACUAAUCCAAUUUUUGGGCGUAAUCCCCUUUCCUGUCCUAAUUCUAGUAUUCUUUGUUGUUUGGUCCAGCAAUGGUGUUCAGCUUGGUAUACUUCUGCGGAGAGCUCAUAAAAUUUCACUUUUAUGAGUUUUGCUGAUUAGUCAAAAUGAAAAAAAAAAAAAAAAAAUCAAAUUAAUUUCACUUGGGGCGUGUGUAGAUACAAAAAUAUGAAUGCUCUAUUGGUUCUAUUAUAUUUAACUACAAAGUGAAGUUGAAUUUGUUACUGAUAUUGUAUAUUGGACACCAAGAAUGCUUUCGUUUUCCAUUCUAACCAAUUCAUUCGUAUUCUGCUCCCAUUACUUUGGCAGGGAGUUAUGCAAGGAUCUGUUCAAGCAAUGGUNNNNNNN
rnacentral:lncRNA from 1 species